GUUUAAGACGGAAAUCCCAAACGGGAGAACAUUUUAAAAGCAAGCGUUUUUGCGUUAAUACGACUCUGCGCUUCAGAUUGCGACGAAAAAAAUCGUAUUUUCAGCUUCCACUACACUUGUCGCAGGUCUAUUUCAAGAGCGUUCUGGAAAUACAAAAUGAACCUAAAGAUAUUUUUAAUCGUGUCGUCUGUACUUCUCGGAGUAUACACAGUGUCUGCUAGACCAAGUCAACGAGCAGUGGAACUAUUAAAUCGCCUAAAGCUACUUUCUGACGAGCUGAUCCAACCAGAGUUCAGUGACUCCAUGAAACACGCCGAAGCAAGAAAUA